AUCCGACUAGACGGAUUGGUAAUUUUCGCGAGUCAACAAGUGAACGCGCACAUUAUUAUUAUUCAUUUACCGCGUGUUCGGUUAAUACCGCGUCUGCGGUUUAUACCGCAAAGUCUGACCUUUGCGACUUUCCAUAGAAUAAUAAUAUGUCUAGAUUGAAUUUGCAGAACGUCUUUAAGGUUAACAUUUUUGAACAUUUCACGAUUUUAAAUACAGCCGUUUGAAGUUAAAAUAAAAUAUGUAAUCGCUUAUAAUAUAAUAUCGAAACCCGUCACUGUAUAACAAAACGUUCGGGAUGAAGUUUUCGGUAUUUAGACGGGAAAAUUUGAUAAAACGCUAUCUAUCGACACUAGUAUCGUUUCGCCGAUAAUAUUAUUAUUUAUUACAGUCACACCGUGGCAAAUUUUUGGUGCGAUUAAAUUAAAAAAAAACAAUACAAUAAUUUUCACCGGCUCGUAAUUAAUAUGCGCAUAAAUUUUACUUUUAGUACGAAUAAGUGUUGUUAAAAAAACCGCACACCCGGCCUGGUUAAUUUUGCUAAUUGUCACAUCUGCUUUUGCGCGCAGUCACUGAACCUAUACAAUAAUAUAAUAAUAAUUAACGUCCAAUAUAGUGGAGGGAAAGGUCGCGGAUCGGCCGUACGCGUUUUGCCGGUGGCCUUUGAAACUGAAACCUCAAAAUGCAGUAUUUGAUCAAAAACCAACAUCUGUACAAAUUACAAUAAAAAAAAAAUUAUAGACGAUUACCGUUACCGAAUCCCGUUAAUGCAAGUGUCGCUGAAGUCGUGCCCCGAAAUUUUGUCCAACAAGUCAUUACCAGCGUCCAGCACAGUCAUCGAUUACCUUACUUCGUUGAUUUAUUACACGAUAAAAUGCGUACAAGACUAUCUAGUUUUCGGCGGUACGUCUCAAUCACAAUACUAAGUUAUUAACUAACUAAAGGUUCAAAACAUAUACUAUCUUGUAGAGUUUAAAGUAUACUUGAAUAAUAAAACUUUUAUACGAUUGCACACACAUUAAACUGCACACGUAUAAUUUGGUCAAAUAUAAAGUAUAUUUGUCGAUAACACACACAAGUUAUCUU